rnacentral:ncRNA from 2 species
AGAAAGAGAGCAUUGGUAACUAAGGUGAAAGUCCUUAUCGGUGCCGCCACUGUGAGAGACAGAAAACUUUGCUCUCU